rnacentral:rRNA from 1 species
CUUGCGAAAGUAAGACUAAUACCCAAUGACGUCUUUAGAAGACAUCUGAAAGAGAUUAAAGAUUUAUCGGUGAUGGAUGGGGAUGCGUCUGAUUAGCUUGUUGGCGGGGUAACGGCCCACCAAGGCAACGAUCAGUAGGGGUUCUGAGAGGAAGGUCCCCCACAUUGGAACUGAGACACGGUCCAAACUCCUACGGGAGGCAGCAGUGAGGAAUAUUGGUCAAUGGACGAGAGUCUGAACCAGCCAAGUAGCGUGCAGGAAGACGGCCCUAUGGGUUGUAAACUGCUUUUAUAAGGGAAUAAAGUGAGUCUCGUGAGACUUUUUGCAUGUACCUUAUGAAUAAGGACCGGCUAAUUCCGUGCCAGCAGCCGCGGUAAUACGGAAGGUCCGGGCGUUAUCCGGAUUUAUUGGGUUUAAAGGGAGCGUAGGCCGGAGAUUAAGCGUGUUGUGAAAUGUAGAUGCUCAACAUCUGAACUGCAGCGCGAACUGGUUUCCUUGAGUACGCACAAAGUGGGCGGAAUUCGUGGUGUAGCGGUGAAAUGCUUAGAUAUCACGAAGAACUCCGAUUGCGAAGGCAGCUCACUGGAGCGCAACUGACGCUGAAGCUCGAAAGUGCGGGUAUCGAACAGGAUUAGAUACCCUGGUAGUCCGCACGGUAAACGAAGGAUGCCCGCUGUUGGUCUGAAUAGGUCAGCGGCCAAGCGAAAGCAUUAAGCAUCCCACCUGGGGAGUACGCCGGCAACGGUGAAACUCAAAGGAAUUGACGGGGGCCCGCACAAGCGGAGGAACAUGUGGUUCAAUUCGAUGAUACGCGAGGAACCUUACCCGGGCUUGAAUUGCAGAGGAAGGAUUUGGAGACAAUGACGCCCUUCGGGGCCUCUGUGAAGGUGCUGCAUGGUUGUCGUCAGCUCGUGCCGUGAGGUGUCGGCUUAAGUGCCAUAACGAGCGCAACCCCUCUCCUUAGUUGCCAUCAGGUGAAGCUGGGCACUCUGGGGACACUGCCACCGUAAGGUGUGAGGAAGGUGGGGAUGACGUCAAAUCAGCACGGCCCUUACGUCCGGGGCUACACACGUGUUACAAUGGCAGGUACAGAGAGACGGUCCCUUGCAAAAUGGAUCAAAUCCUUAAAGCCUGUCUCAGUUCGGACUGGGGUCUGCAACCCGACCCCACGAAGCUGGAUUCGCUAGUAAUCGCGCAUCAGCCAUGGCGCGGUGAAUACGUUCCCGGGCCUUGCACU